CACAUGUUUUUUCCCUCUCCACGCGUGUAAACGGUUAGACGGUGGAACUCCGUCCCUUCGGUGGCAUGUAACCGCCGCGCCCCCUGUUCCCCUCCCCCGGCGCUCCUCCCCCGCCGCGGCAGCCCGAAGGCCCCCGAUGGGCGGCGCACGGGGCGGCGGCAUGCCGCGCAGGGAGAAGCGUCGCGAUCCGCUUGCCUUCUCCGCCGAUAAGAAGCUGCUGGCCGCAAACCUCCGCGCUGCGCCCAUGGAGGGGCUCUCCCUCAUCGACGUCUCCGAACCCCAUGGAACUCGGGUGCAAAGAUCCAAAUCACCGAGGACGUCGAUGCGGACACAACUGCCCUCCUACACCCGUUGCUUUAAGGUUUGUUCUUUCUGUACUCUAUUCCCUAUCCCCGUAUAUCCAGUUUCCCAUGUCCAUGGAUGAUUGGAGUGUACAGAAAAUGAAUUUAAAGUAUGUGAAUCUUCAGUUUGGUUGCAGGUAGCACUAUGACAGUUUCUAUUUACCGAUCUGUUGCAGAGCUCGCACACAUGCUUGUUUUGUUAGUUCAAUACGAGAUGUGAUUACUUUUAUCAAUUUGCAAAUAGUAGCACAGAAGAGAUGUAUUUUUUUCUUGUGUUUAAUAUGAACCUUUUCUGUCAAUGAUAUGGCUUUCUAUCAAUAGAUUUAGCAUUACUGGACCCAGUAAUCAUAUUACUGAUGUGCUGCUCAUUUGACAUGUAUAUGUGUACGAUUGUAGGUGGAAAACAAACAAAGCAAUAUGGGAUGUAGUCUAGGUUAAUAUUUUCAUAGAUAUUUGCCUGGAAGAAAUAGCUGGGCAUGAUAGGUGCCUGGCUUGACAUACUUUCUUCUUAAAGUUUUUUUUUUGUGGAGUAUCAAAUACUUCAAUAGAACUGCAUAAGUAGUAAAAAAAUUGGGGGAGGGGGUGGGUGGGGGGGGUGCAAAUGGCUCUCAGUUCGCGAAGAUGGACUGAAACCCCAACGACAGCGGCCUGCUCCCUUGAAACUUUGCAGCUCAACUAAAGAUAUCUCAAGUAUACUUUAUAACAAUUUAAUAUUUGCAGCAUUAUAACAAUUUAUAUUAGCAGUGGCACACAUGAAAGCUACUAUUGGGAGAAGGAGAGGCUUCACGUGCUUCUUUGGAUCUCAUGUGAGAAAACAUACUAAUCUGAACUUAUUGUACGUUAAAUCAUCAUGGUUAAUAUCAAUACACUAAGUUCAGUGUGAAAUAAAAAGAAUAAGAUAAACUGAUCUGAUUAGUAUGUUUGAGGCUAACCAAUGGAAUUAAUAACCAAAUAUACCUGCUUUGUUUCACUCAGCGAGGAUGCUGUAAGUAAAAAAUCUGCCAUCUGCUUAGAAUGUGAUUCAGGAGUCAGUUUCCAAGGUGUUUGUGCAUACACAAUAUCUACCUGAAAAUUCAGACAAGUAUUGCCGCUUCAUUACUAGGAAUGGUUUUUGCACUGCUAGGGCGAUUUCACUUCUAUUAUGUUGUUUCCAUUUCAAUAUCCACUUCAUUAGAACUAUCUUGAUGUUACUUGUACUUCUCUUCAGUUAUUAAAUAAAAUGAUUCUUAAUUAUUUAAUUUGGGAAUAUAUCUUUUCUUUAAUCUUACUCCUGAAAAAAAAAGCAUUCAUCAUUCUAACCUAAACACCCUGUACCUUUGCAGAUCUCUUGAUCUCUUUUUGAGAACGCUGAAAGUUUUUGAGAAUGGCCAUAGGAUGAAGGUGUUUUGGCGUAGAACUCUAGAAUCUAUGAGAUAUACAGUGCCUGUUUGUUACUGCUUCUGAUGCAGUUUGUUCACGAUGGACCUCUAUGAUUUGAAUGCUAUUAUAUUUUCAAUAUGUGCAGUAGCAUAUCCUAUUGUAUGGUGCAUUGCAGGUUAUGUUUCAGUUUUAUUGUUCUACACCUACUUUGAGUAAAUGUAUUUAAUGCCUAGGUCUUGCUCAGUUAACGUUCUGGUUGCUGUUUAGGCUCGAUUAGGAGUCCUGAUUCUAUUUCAACGUGAAGUUUUUUUGAGGACGAGGUCGACAAUGGGAAUUGGGGCGAGGUGGAGUGCUACCUUGGUGGCUUCUUUGUGAUCUGCAAGCAGAAGUUCCUCGAGGCUUUAUAAGUAAGUGGAGGGGGUUGUGUAGCGUUGUUUAUAGCUGUGGUUGAUUCAUGCCAUCGCAUUGCUUGCUUAAAUUUGAUUGCUCGCGAGUUGUCACAUACCCAUAGCCCCAUGUAUCUGUGGAAGGUUUUGCCUUAUUCUCCCUGUCCCUAAGACCCUGUUGAUGAAGAUUCUAGAAAGUAUGAGAUCUCUUAUGUUCGUGAUUUUCAUGAUAACAUGGAUCGGUUAGUUACUUAACUGGAAUCACUUGUUCCCUCAAAAAAAAAAAACUGGAGUCACAUGCAGUGAAUCUCUUUGCACGGAUUUUAUUUUCAGGUUCUUGGCAAAGCUUUGACAAUGUACUGUUUGACUAUGAUAAAUGUGUAUUUGUUAUUUAAUUCAGUGGACAUUCAGUAAUCAGUAGAACACCAGAAAUUUUGGUAAAGCAGAUUGCGGUACUGUAUAAUACGGGCCUGAAAGCAUAUGUUGCAUGUCAAAUUAAAAUCGCCGAGUGUUUGAUUAAUUGCGACAGUUGGACUGAAUUUUGAUGAAAGCAGUUUCACUGAUGGCAACUUGUACCCAAUAAGCCAGUUCACUACCAAAAUUCUGAGGACAAGUUGUACAUUAAUUACUACUGGUUCAGUUUAUGUAUUGAUGGGAAGACAUUUGUCAUGCCCUUGCCAUGUAUUUGGGCAGUAUUUAUGCAUGUCUUCACUAUUUCCUUUGUUGCAUUUGGAGUGGACAGAUACCUCGUUUCAUGCUAGCAUAUCUCAUUCAUGCGUGAUUUUGUUUUUUCUAUUAGCAGAUCGCCAACCACAUCCUUUGCAACAUGCUGAGUUCAUAUUGCCAUUCUUCCCUUUAUCUGAUCUGUAUUAUGUUAAAUCCUAGGAACGUGAAUGAUCACUGUCACCCUUAGUGAUGAUACUGUGUCAAUGCAGUUAAAUUUUGAGCUUUGGGGUCACUAAGAAACCAUGAGCUUGAUUUUCAGCUGAACUGAUCCCUAAAUUUGAAUGACCUCCAUGUUAGCCAUAACUAAGAAGUUGCCAUAGGUUUCUGUAAGAAGCUUUCAAAAGAGAACAUUGCCAGCAGACAUCCAUCUCAUGUACAAAUCAUUUGCAGCAGUGCUCUGUCUUGACUCAUCUGCAGGUAGGUACCUAUAUCUAAAUCCAAAGGAUGAAGAGAGGAACGAUGAGAAGGAGCGUGUCUCUUUCAAGCUUGUUGAGUUAAACCUGACACCAUCAGAGGCAUAUUUCAAGUUCCUGAUAUAUGAUCAGUCCUAUGGAAAACACCAGGAGCAGUUCAUGGUUAUACUUGAAGAUAUAACUUGUAACCUGUUUGUAUUUUUUUCUCUCUGUGAUUUGUACGUGCUCAUUACUCAAAUUCUUCCCUUGUUAGGUUGCCAGCUGCAACUUACAAUAUUUAGUGCAUUUUAUCUUUUAGUAGUACCCUAAGUUUGUUUCCAUGACUCCAUUUAGUUUUUCUAUGGAAACUUUUGUGUUCUCGUUUAAGAUAUCUUGAAUCUAUGCUCGUCUCAUGUUUCUUUGAA